GAUGAACGCUGGCGGCGUGCCUAAUACAUGCCAGUCGAGCGAACAGACGAGGAGCUUGCUCCUUUGACGUUAGCGGCGGACGGGUGAGUAACACGUGGAUAACCUACCUAUAAGACUGGGAUAACUUCGGGAAACCGGAGCUAAUACCGGAUAACAUGUUGAACCGCAUGGUUCAACAGUGAAAGACGGUCUUGCUGUCACUUAUAGAUGGAUCCGCGCCGCAUUAGCUAGUUGGUAAGGUAACGGCUUACCAAGGCAACGAUGCGUAGCCGACCUGAGAGGGUGAUCGGCCACACUGGAACUGAGACACGGUCCAGACUCCUACGGGAGGUAGCAGUAGGGAAUCUUCCGCAAUGGGCGAAAGCCUGACGGAGCAACGCCGCGUGAGUGAAGAAGGUCUUCGGAUCGUAAAACUCUGUUAUUAGGGAAGAACAAAUGUGUAAGUAACUAUGCACGUCUUGACGGUACCUAAUCAGAAAGCCACGGCUAACUACGUG
rnacentral:rRNA from 1 species